AAAAUCAUAAUAAAUCAUAGAAAAAUCAUAAAAUAAAAAUUUAAUUUUGUUAGACUCCUGAUAAGUAGAUCUACACAGUGAAUAUAUAAUAUGAUAUACUUUAAUACAAAUUUUUUAUUGUAGCUUUAAAUCUAUGUUUUUCUAUAAUUAAUUCAAAUAAUUCAUAUAUGUAGUUUCUAUGGUCCAAUUGUGGUAAACUUUUAAUGGUGGGCUUAUUAUUGUAUGC
rnacentral:lncRNA from 1 species